UCUAAGUAUAACCUGCCAGACAGGGAAACUGCGUACGGCUCAUUACACCAGCCUUAAUUUACUUGACCUUGACAACCUACUUGGAUAACUGUGGUAAUUCUAGAGCUAAUACAUGCACCAAAGCUCCGAUCCUCGCGGAGAGGAGCGCAUUUGUUCGCCACAAAACCAAGCGCCCAUCUGGGCGUCCAGUGCUGAACCAGAACAACUCAGCUGAUCGCACGGUCUUGUACCGGCGACGUGUCUUUCAAGUGUCUGCCUUAUCAACUUUCGAUGGUAGUGUACCUGACUACCAUGGUUGUGACGGGUAACGGAGGAUAAGGGUUCGACUCCGGAGAAGGGGCCUGAGAAAUGGCCACUACGUCUAAGGAUGGCAGCAGGCGCGCAAAUUACCCACUCUCAACGCG
rnacentral:rRNA from 1 species